UACGGGAGGCAGCAGUAAGGAAUAUUGGUCAAUGGAGGGAACUCUGAACCAGCCAUCCCGCGUGCAGGAUGAAGGGGCUAUGCCCUGUAAACUGCUUUUGAAUGGGACGAAAAAGCCUCACUUGUGAGGAACUGACGGUACCAUUAGAAUAAGCACCGGCUAACUCCGUGCCAGCAGCCGCGGUAAUACGGAGGGUGCAAGCUUUAUCCGGAAUCACUGGGUUUAAAGGGUGCGUAGGCGGUUGUAUAAGUCAGUGGUGAAAGGCCGUAGCUUAACUAUGGGAUUGCCAUUGAUACUGUAUGACUUGAAUGAGGUUGAGGUGGGCGGAAUGUGGCAUGUAGCGGUGAAAUGCUUAGAUAUGCCAUGGAACAUCGAUUGCGAAGGCAGCUGACUGGACCUGAAUUGACGCUGAGGCACGAAAGCGUGGGGAGCGAACAGGAUUAGAUACCCUGGUAGUCCACGCCCUAAACGAUGCUUACUCGUUGUUUGAUCGAAAGAUUGAGUGACUAAGCGAAAGCGAUAAGUAAGCCACCA
rnacentral:rRNA from 1 species